rnacentral:tRNA from 1 species
GCGUGUGUAGCUCAAUUGGCAGAGCACUGGACUCCAAACCCAGCGGUUGAAGGUUCGAAUCCUUCCGUGCGCGCCA